rnacentral:rRNA from 1 species
GACGAAGGUGGCGACCGUUGUUCGGAAUCACUGGGCAUAAAGAGCACGUAGGCGGCAAGGUAUGUCGGGUGUGAAAUCCCUCGGCCCAACCGAGGAAUUGCGCCCGAAACUACCUUGCUUGAGGAUGGAAGGGGAGCGUGGAAUUCCUGGUGGAGCGGUGAAAUGCGUUGAUAUCAGGAGGAACACCGGCGGCGAAGGCGACGCUCUGGUCCAUUUCUGACGCUGAGGUGCGAAAGCCAGGGGAGCAAACGGG